rnacentral:rRNA from 1 species
GAUGAACGCUGGCGGCGUGCCUAAUACAUGCAAGUCGAGCGAACAGACGAGGAGCUUGCUCCUCUUACGUUAGCGGCGGACGGGUGAGUAACACGUGGAUAACCUACCUAUAAGACUGGGAUAACUUCGGGAAACCGGAGCUAAUACCGGAUAAUAUAUUGAACCGCAUGGUUCAAUAGUGAAAGACGGUUUUGCUGUCACUUAUAGAUGGAUCCGCGCCGCAUUAGCUAGUUGGUAAGGUAACGGCUUACCAAGGCAACGAUGCGUAGCCGACCUGAGAGGGUGAUCGGCCACACUGGAACUGAGACACGGUCCAGACUCCUACGGGAGGCAGCAGUAGGAAUCUUCCGCAAUGGGCGAAAGCCUGACGGAGCAACGCCGCGUGAGUGAUGAAGGUCUUCGGAUCGUAAAACUCUGUUAUUAGGGAAGAACAAAUGUGUAAGUAACUAUGCACGUCUUGACGGUACCUAAUCAGAAAGCCACGGCUAACUACGUG